GAUGAACGCUGACAGAAUGCUUAACACAUGCAAGUCCACUUGAACUUCGGUUUGGGUGGCGGACGGGUGAGUAACGCGUAAAGAACUUGCCUCACAGUUAGGGACAACAUUUGGAAACGAAUGCUAAUACCUGAUAUUAUGAUUUUAGGGCAUCCUAGAAUUAUGAAAGCUAUAUGCGCUGUGAGAGAGCUUUGCGUCCCAUUAGCUAGUUGGAGAGGUAACGGCUCACCAAGGCGAUGAUGGGUAGCCGGCCUGAGAGGGUGAACGGCCACAAGGGGACUGAGACACGGCCCUUACUCCUACGGGAGGCAGCAGUGGGGAAUAUUGGACAAUGGACCAAGAGUCUGAUCCAGCAAUUCUGUGUGCACGAUGAAGUUUUUCGGAAUGUAAAGUGCUUUCAGUUGGGAAGAAAAAAAUGACGGUACCAACAGAAGAAGUGACGGCUAAAUACGUG
rnacentral:rRNA from 1 species